AUGCCUGGAAAACAGGAUUGUCAGUUGAUGCAAGGUCUGGAGAAUAUGGUGGAUGACAGAGUACUUCCAUGUUCAGUUCCUGUGAAUUUUUGGACUAU